AAGGGUAUAGCUCAGUGGUAGAGAAUUUGCUUAGCAUGCACAAGGUCCUGGGUUCAAUCCCCAGUACCUGCA
rnacentral:tRNA from 1 species